rnacentral:lncRNA from 1 species
AGGGUUCUGUUGGUGACUCAGUUUCUUAGAUUGGGUUCAGAUGACAGUUGAUCAGUUGACUUUGGGUUUCAGAUGAUGGUGAUCAGAGCUCGAGCCGAAGUUUGAUCCUGUGUUCAGAGAUGCACAGCUUGCCAGCCGUGUCUGCAUCAUGUGCAUCAUAGCAUAUUUAUUUUUCAAAAGAAAUGCAAUAAAAAGAAAAAAAAGAGAAAGAAAGAAAAAACUAAUCCCUGCAUGCAUAUCAUUUCUCA